rnacentral:rRNA from 1 species
GAUGAACGCUAGCGGCAGGCUUAACACAUGCAAGUCGAGGGGCAUCGGGAGGGAAGCUUGCUUUCCUUGCCGGCGACCGGCGCACGGGUGAGUAACACGUAUGCAACCUGCCCUCUUCAGGGGGACAACCUUCCGAAAGGGGGGCUAAUCCCGCGUAUAUCGGUUUCGGGCAUCCGAGAUCGAGGAAAGAUUCAUCGGAAGAGGAUGGGCAUGCGGCGCAUUAGCUUGACGGCGGGGUAACGGCCCACCGUGGCGACGAUGCGUAGGGGUUCUGAGAGGAAGGUCCCCCACACUGGUACUGAGACACGGACCAGACUCCUACGGGAGGCAGCAGUGAGGAAUAUUGGUCAAUGGGAGAGAUCCUGAACCAGCCAAGCCGCGUGAGGGAAGACGGCCCUAUGGGUUGUAAACCUCUUUUGUCGGAGAACAAAACCCGGGACGUGUCCCGGACUGCGUGUAUCCGAAGAAAAAGCAUCGGCUAACUCCGUGCCAGCAGCCGCGGUAAUACGGAGGAUGCGAGCGUUAUCCGGAUUUAUUGGGUUUAAAGGGUGCGUAGGCGGUCCGUUAAGUCAGCGGUAAAAUUGCGGGGCUCAACCCCGUCGAGCCGUUGAAACUGGCAGACUUGAGUUGGCGAGAAGUACGCGGAAUGCGCGGUGUAGCGGUGAAAUGCAUAGAUAUCGCGCAGAACUCCGAUUGCGAAGGCAGCGUACCGGCGCCAGACUGACGCUGAGGCACGAAAGCGUGGGGAUCGAACAGGAUUAGAUACCCUGGUAGUCCACGCAGUAAACGAUGAAUGCUGGUUGUCCGGGUCGAAUGAGAUCUGGGCGGCGAAGCGAAAGCGAUAAGCAUUCCACCUGGGGAGUACGCCGGCAACGGUGAAACUCAAAGGAAUUGACGGGGGCCCGCACAAGCGGAGGAACAUGUGGUUUAAUUCGAUGAUACGCGAGGAACCUUACCCGGGCUCAAACGGGAGCGGAAUGGACCAGAGACGGUUCAGCCUACGGGCCGCUUCCGAGGUGCUGCAUGGUUGUCGUCAGCUCGUGCCGUGAGGUGUCGGCUUAAGUGCCAUAACGAGCGCAACCCCCGCCGGCAGUUGCUAACGGGCAAUGCCGAGGACUCUGCCGGGACUGCCGCCGCAAGGCGUGAGGAAGGCGGGGAUGACGUCAAAUCAGCACGGCCCUUACGUCCGGGGCGACACACGUGUUACAAUGGGCGGUACAGCGGGAAGCCAGGCGGCGACGCCGAGCGGAACCCGAAAGCCGUUCUCAGUUCGGAUCGGAGUCUGCAACCCGACUCCGUGAAGCUGGAUUCGCUAGUAAUCGCGCAUCAGCCAUGGCGCGGUGAAUACGUUCCCGGGCCUUGUACACACCGCCCGUCAAGCCAUGGAAGCCGGGGGUGCCUGAAGUGCGCUGCCGCGAGGAGCGCCCUAGGGUAAAACCGGUGACUGGGGCU